CCCGUUUUUAAGCUUUUAAAAAUUCGGAAUUCAAUAGAGAUUUUUGUUUGGAAAACAGACUUCACAAUUAAUCUCAGAUUAUUAUUUUAAGGCUAUGAUGAAUUUUGAGUAUUUUUCUGAGAAAGAAACCCGAACUACGCGGACGAAACAUUACUCGUUUUCGCGUCCGCGUGGGGGUUUUCCUUGCCAACGGUCCAUUGUGGUGAGCUUCUGGAAAUGGGCUAGGCUCCCACUCCAUUUAUUUCUCCUUCACCUGCCUCCCUCCCCAGCCACACACCUGUCUCUCUCUCUUUUCUAUAAAAUACCUCAUUUUUCUCCUUUCUUUUCCCAGACAACUCUAUCCCUCUCUCUCUCUCUCUCCUUCUUCUUCUUUCUUUUAUUUGGCCAGGAGGAAUUCCCUCCACCCCACUGCCAAAAAUCCACACCAUCCACUACCGCCGAUAAAGAUUACACGCAAUACUUUUUGGUUCACGCAUUAGAGGGCAAGUUCGUGAUGAUCGGAUAAAAAGAAUUGAAAGAGUUGUACUGUUUUUAUUUGAAGAUGUAUAAGAGAAUUUUUAGACCGUAUACGAAAUAAUUGUAUUAUUUAGAGAUUUU